AGAAUCAACGCUGGCGGCGUGCCUAACACAUGCAAGUCGCACGAGAAAGGGGAGCAAUCCCUGAAUAAAGUGGCGCACGGGUGAGUAACACGUGAAUAAUCUACCUCCGAGUGGGGGAUAACUGAGAGAAAUCUUAGCUAAUACCGCAUAACACUUACGAGUCAAAGCAGCAAUGCGCUUGGAGAGGAGUUCGCGGCCGAUUAGUUAGUUGGCGGGGUAAUGGCCCACCAAGACGAUGAUCGGUA
rnacentral:rRNA from 1 species